AAAUCGACCGUACAUGCCAGAGUUCACACUGGCGAAAAACCCUUCCAGUGUGCCCAUUGUAACAAGCGCUUUUCACGUAAGGAUAAGUUGAAAAUGCAUAUGCUCACCCAUUAUAACAACACUAUUAUGUAAUAUGUAAUAAUUAAAUGUUGCAAGGGAUGUGAAAUACAUCAAUGUUUAGUUUUCAACUGCUAUGCAAUAUUGAAGAUAUGUUUAAUGAGGCACAUCCCAACACACAUUGGGGAAGAAAACUUUACCAGCGUGAUACUUCUAAAAAAAUUUUUAAUCAAAAAUGUCAUAUAUUCUAGUUCUUUGUAUUCUAGGUUUUUUUAAUAGUUUAAUGUGUUUUUCAAUGUUAGUUUUUGUAUUCUAAAUAUUUCUUAUCUUGUUUCAUGCAAGCAAAAAUUCAAAUUUCUGAAAUUGUAUUCUAAUUUUUCAUAAGAUGGUUUGUUAAUUAAUAUUUAUUUAUUAAUUAAUUUGCUGAUUAAUAUGUCCUUUGUCAAUGAAAAAGUUAACUUAAGUUGAGAGAUACUAGGGACAUAAGUGUGCAUUAAAAUUGUAAUAUUUUUAAGUUUCGUUGUUAGAAUAAAAGUAAACCUUUAAAUAUUGAUUUUAAUUUUAUUCCCACUAUUUUUAUUUUAAUAAUAACAUAGUGCUGUUUAACUUGUAUUCAUAUCUGUGGUUGUUUUAUUCCUUGAGAAAUUAUGUUGGUUUAUUUAAGCCUAAAUUGACAUUUAUAUCUCUUUCUAUUUAAACUGUGCUUUAUUUUCAAGCAAUCUGUUGUCUUAAAAUAUAGAUAAAUAAAAUAUAAGUGUUUUAUUUAUGUUGUUGUUCCACGUGUUUAAUAAAUAUUGAAAAAAUUCCCAUUUAAUUCAAAAAAGUCAAGUGUAUUAUUUACAUUUUAUUGUCUGGCAGUUCUGUCCAGUUUCUGUAACAUGUUGACUUCAACAUUAAACACCUUUAAUAUGCUAUGAUUUACUACAUGAAAGUUUUCUUAGUAUGUUGUAGGAUAUUUUUUCAAUGAUAAUUUUUGACGUUAAGAACAUAUUAUUCAGCUCACAAGUAAAAGCAAAAAUAUUGUAUUUAAAUUCAUUUUGAAAUGUACAACAAAUUGUCUUUUGUUUAGAAAUAUUGAUGUUCAAACACAAUGCACAUAAGAUGAAGAUUAGCUCUAGCUAAAUCUGUUUUUCAAGAAAAAAAAACAUAAUAAGUAUUUAAAUGGCAGAGCAAUACAUAAAAUUUCAGCAUUUGAAAGUGCUUUUAAUAUAUUUCUUUGAAAUAUUCUUUGUGUUUAUUUUAUAAAGUCUUAUUUUGUAUAGAGCAACAUAUAAAAUAUUCUUUAAAAAAGUUUUUCUCUUGCUUUUUCUGUAUUAUUUUGAAAGAUGCUUUGAUAAUAUAUACCACUCUUUUAACGGAAUUAUUAAAGCCUUGAUUACGAGUGAUAUUUAAUUACGUGUUUUUUAGAUGUAUAUGAAAUUUUGUUAAUGUGUUAUAAUUAUAAAAAAUAUAUUAUGCAAAUGA